rnacentral:lncRNA from 1 species
UCAAACUACACUUCUCUGUUAUAUGUGUGGGAGGCCGAGUUCAAUUCCAUGAAGGGUCCCUGGUUGGCAGUUCAGUCUCUAGAAUUUCCUUUAAUUUUUGUUCAAAGGCAGUGUCCCUGAUGGCAGGAGAAGCAUGGCAACAGGAACCGGAAGCUAAGAGAUCACAUUUCCAUUGUGCACAGGAAGCAGAGAGGGAAUUUCUAUCAACUAGAUGACAUCAUGAAUGUAACAGUAGUAAGGUUGGUAGUGAAAUCACUCCUGAUAAGAGGAGUUUGAAGUCUAUUAGGAAGUGGAAGAGCAAUGAAGUGACUACCCCUACGAGAACAUUUUACAUCACAGUUGCAAAGAACACAUCUAUCCUCUUCAUUAAAUCAACUGGUGUCCUUGAAGCUCCGGCUCAGCUGCCCUCUGACCCAAGAGAAGCAACAAAAUCCUAAAUCUCACUCCUCUGGCAAGAUCCACCAGGAGAUCCAUGGGGACAUAGGGAAGAGACGAUUGUCCUCACUCCAUCUUCUUCCAAGACCCUCAGAAUGUCUUCCUAGUAGUAGAAAAUAAGACAGAACCACGAUGCUUGAGAAUACACCAGAGCCACGAGAAGAUAAGAGUAAAUGAUAAACAUCAGCUGAGACAAUUUUACUUCAUCAAAAAUCUUCUAAAAGUUCACUUUUCUGCUUUAUUCUGUCUUGUAAAAGUUAAAAAUAAAUCUUUUGCUUGCUUC